GAUUUGCCGGGCUCUCAAUGAGGAGCCCCUCCAUGCUGAGAGAAUCUGGCCAGCUUACGGACACCUGGUCAUUAACAUUGCUAAUUAGCGCCCAUUAAUCAGAAGUGGGAUAAAAGUGGUUCCCAUCAGCUCAAGAUGAGCCGGAUUAGACGGAGGGUUAAACAACAGGCUGCGCCGAGCGCUAUCGGGGAUAGGAAUGGGAUGGGCUUCCAGUCACUGGCAAAGAAUUGCUCCAAAAGUGAGUUUUGAUGGCAAAGUCGGACAUCAUCCACUACAGAAGACACUAGUACAUCACCCUUGACUGGAAAAUGAAAAGUAAAACAUCUGUAAAAACAGAGAAUGUCCUAAUGUGAAGCGAUUUACAAUUAUUCUGUAAACUGAUCAUUUUGAAAUCCCUGAACUUUGUCAAUACUCAACAGGUG